rnacentral:lncRNA from 1 species
GUAAAGAAGGCCUUUGCUGGUGGAGCUUUGAUUCUAAGUGAGAUAGAUGGAAAAGACUUGCCUAAUCCCGUAAACUCAGACUCAGUCAAGAAAUACUUCACUUGAAGAAAACGAACCAAAGUUAAAACCCGUAAAAGGCGCUUUGAUUCCUAAAAAAAAAAAAGAGGAAAAAAUGAUGAUAAAAAAUGGAGAGGCUAAGGGGAAAACCCGCAAAGGGCACCUUAGGCCAAAGGGGAUUUGAGUUAAAAACCCGAAAAGG